UUAAGCAUAUCAGUAAGCGGAGGAAAAGAAAACAACUGUGAUUCCCUUAGUAACGGCGAGUGAAGCGGGAAAAGCCCAUCGUUGAAUCUCCCGGGGCCUAGCCCAGGGCGAGUUGUGACGGUAUGGAUUGGCUUUCUAGUGUGGCGCGCCGACCAAAGUCCUCCGGAUUGAGGCGCCAAAGAGGGUGACAGCCCCGUAGACGGUCGGCGCAAAACGCGUAUGUUACCAACUCCUAGAGUCGGGUUGUUUGGGAUUGCAACCUAAAGCAGGUGGUAAACUCCAUCUAAGGCUAAAUAUGGACACGAAACCGAUAGCGAACAAGUACCGUGAGGGAAAGUUGAAAAGAACCCUGAAAAGAGAGUUAAAAGUACGUGAAACCGCUAACGGGGAAGCGGAAGGCAGUGUCGAGACUGUGCGUGGUGGGCGGUCAAUUGCGGCCGUCAGCUGCGUGUAGUGCGUCAGGCCUGCUGGUGGGCGUGCGGAAGCGGGGCAUGGCUCUCGUAGGCUCUUAGGACUCUACGUUUGCGGCCCCGUGAAAGUGCGCGUGCUGGCAUGUUUGUGGAGAAGCGCCGGCGGCCAUGUUUAAAAGGUCGGUUGAUGCUUGGGGGUGCUGCGUCGUGUCUAAAGUUUGGGCACGGCGUCGUGGCUUCUGAGGUCGACAGUCGGCGCUAGACCCUGACGAGAUACCCAACUUUCCGACCCGUCUUGAAACACGGACCAAGGAGGCAGAAAAUGGAGCGAGUUAGAGGGUGGAAAACCCGACGGCGCAGUGAAAGCAAGAGGUGGGAUCUGUCGGCCUCGGCUGGCAGCGCACCACCGGCCGGUCAUAGGUGAUCGAGUUGGAGCUCCAUUUGCUGGACCCGAAAGAUGGUGAACUAUGCGUGAGCAGGGUGAAGCCAGAGGAAACUCUGGUGGAAGCUCGAAGCGAUUCUGACGUGCAAAUCGAUCGUUUGACUUGCGUGUGGGGGCGAAAGACUAAUCGAACCAUCUAGUAGCUGGUUCCCUUCGAAAUAUCCCUCAGGAUCGCUGAGACAGGUGGGAGACAGUUUCAUCGGGUAGAGCGAAUGAUUAGAGGACUCGGGGACAUAUUACUCUCGACCUAUUCUCAAACUACCAACCGGUGAGAUUGCCGUUUUCCUGUGUGAAACGGCACGUGGAAUGUCUCUGUCUCAAGUGGGCCAUUUUUGGUAAGCAGAACUGGCGAUGCGGGAUGAACCGAGAGCCGAGCUAAGGUGCCUAAGAGCACGUCCAUAGAUACCACAAAAGGAGUCGGUCGAUGAAGACAGCAGGACGGUGGCCCUGAAAGUAGGCAUCCGCUAAGGAGUGUCUAAUAACUCACCUGCCGAAUCGACGGGCCCUGAAAAUGGAUGGCGCUGAAGCGUGCCACCGAUGCUCGGCCUUUACCUCGAGAAAUGCAGGUAAGGGGUAGAAGGGCGCGACGGUAGCGAUAAAGUGCAAAGCGCGAGCUUGCAUGGAGCUGCCGCCGGUGUAGAUCUUGGUGGUAGUAGCAACUAUAAAAGUGAGUAAAAACCUUUUAGGCCGAAGUGGAGAAGGGUUCCACGUGAACAGCAGUUGGACGUGGGUUAGUCGGUCCUAAGCGGUUGCCUAAUGGCUAUUUCAACGCAGACGUUUGUCUGAGUUCCGCGAAAGGGAAUCAGGUUAAUAUUCCUGAACUGGGCGUCGGAGACGCGGUCCUCGACGCAAGAAGAGGGCCGCUUAGCGGUAACGCAAGCAAUAUCGGAGACGCUGAUGACUGUGGCGGGGAGAAUUAUCUUUUCUGCAUAACAAGCAAACACCUUGGAAUUGAGUCGCUCAGAGAUAAGGUGCAACGCUUGGAAGAGCGCCGCAAUUACUGCGGCGUCCGCACUGCAGGGAUCAGCCCUUGAAAAUCCGAUGGAGUGGUUGAAUUUCGCGCCUAUCCGUACCGAAUCCGCAUCAGGUCUCCAAGGUGUGCAGCCUCUGGCACUGGAACAAUGUAGGUAAGGGAAGUCGGCAAAAUAGAUCCGUAACUUUGGGAAAAGGAUUGGCUCUAAGGGCCGGGCCAGUCGAGCUAGCAUUGCCUAGGCUAGUGGGGUCGCCGAACGGGGCUUCUUCGGGAGUCAAGUGAGGCACACGCUGGCCCUGGAAUGCCUGCGUGGAGGGGCUUUCGGGCGCCUCCUUUGCGAGUGGCGAGUAUCGGUCAGCUUAGAACUGUUACUGACAUGGGGAAUCCGACUGUUUAAUUAAAACAAAGCAUUGCGAUGGCCUUAACAGGUGUUGACGCAAUGUGAUUUCUGCCCAGUGCUCUGAAUGUCAAAGUGCGGAGACGCAACCAAGCGCGGGUAAACGGCUGGGGUAACUAUGACUCUCUUAAGGUAGCCAAAUGCCUCGUCAUCUAAUUAGUGACGCGCAUGAAUGGAUCAACGAGAUUCCUACUGUCCCUACCUACCAUCCAGCGAAACCACAGUCAAGGGAACGGGCUUGACUGAGACAGCGGGGAAAGAAGACCCUGUUGAGCUUGACUCUAGUUUGAUAUUGUGAGAAGACAUGAGGGGUGUAGCAUAAGUGGGAGACGGUCUUCGGGUCGUCGACGGUGAAAUACCACUACUUUCAUAGUUUUCACACUAAGUCGGUGGCACGGGAGAUACCCGCCAAUGGCGGGUGGAUUCGCGGCUAUAAGGCAGACUGAUCUGCUGACCCAUCGCCGAUGACAGAAUCAGAUG
rnacentral:rRNA from 1 species